rnacentral:rRNA from 1 species
CCAAUAGCGUAUAUUAAAGUUGUUGUGGUUAAAAAGCUCGUAGUUGAACCUUGGGCCUGGCUGGCCGGUCCGCCUCACCGCGUGUACUGGUCCGGCCGGGCCUUUCCCUCUGUGGAACCUCAUGCCCUUCACUGGGUGUGACGGGGAAGCAGGACUUUUACUGUGAAAAAAUUAGAGUGCUCCAAGCAGGCCUAUGCUCGAAUACAUUAGCAUGGAAUAAUAAAAUAGGCCGUGCGGUUCUAUUUUGUUGGUUUCUAGGACCGUCGUAAUGAUUAAUAGGGACAGUCGGGGGCAUCAGUAUUCAAUUGUCAGAGGUGAAAUUCUUGGAUUUAUUGAAGACUAACUACUGCGAAAGCAUUUGCCAAGGAUGUUUUCAUUAAUCAGGAACGAAAGUUAGGGGAUCGAAGACGAUCAGAUACCGUCGUAGUCUUAACCAUAAACUAUGCCGACUAGGGAUCGGACGAUGUUAUUUUUUGACUCGUUCGGCACCUUACG